UACGGAGGAUCCAAGCGUUAUCCGGAAUUACUGGGCGUAAAGAGUUGCGUAGGUGGCAUUGUAAGUAAGUAGUGAAAGCGUGGGGCUCAACCCCAUAAACAUUAUUUAAACUGCAAAGCUAGAGAAUGAGAGAGGUGGCUGGAAUUCCCUGUGUAGGAGUGAAAUCCGUAGAUAUAGGGAGGAACACCGAUGGCGUAGGCAGGCCACUGGCUCAUUUCUGACACUAAGGCACGAAAGCGUGGGUAGCAAACGGG
rnacentral:rRNA from 1 species